AUUGAACGCUGGCGGCAGGCCUAACACAUGCAAGUCGAGCGGAUGAAGGGAGCUUGCUCCUGGAUUCAGCGGCGGACGGGUGAGUAAUGCCUAUGAAUCUGCCUGGUCGUGGGGGAUAACGUCCGGAAACGGGCGCUAAUACCGCAUACGUCCUGAGGGAGAAAGUGGGGGAUCUUCGGACCUCACGCUAUCAGAUGAGCCUAGGUCGGAUUAGCUAGUUGGUGGGGUAAAGGCCUACCAAGGCGACGAUCCGUAACUGGUCUGAGAGGAUGAUCAGUCACACUGGAACUGAGACACGGUCCAGACUCCUACGGGAGGCAGCAGUGGGGAAUAUUGGACAAUGGGCGAAAGCCUGAUCCAGCCAUGCCGCGUGUGUGAAGAAGGUCUUCGGAUUGUAAAGCACUUUAAGUUGGGAGGAAGGGCAGUAAGUUAAUACCUUGCUGUUUUGACGUUACCAACAGAAUAAGCACCGGCUAACUUCGUG
rnacentral:rRNA from 1 species